ACGGCAGCAGGCGCGAAACUUGUCCACUCCUUACGGGGGAGACAGUCAUGAGACGUGAGUAUAAGACCUGAGUGUAAAGACCUUAGGGUGAAGCAAUUGGAGGGCAAGCUUUGGUGCCAGCAGCCGCGGUAACUCCAACUCCAAGAGUGUCUAUGGUGGAUGCUGCAGUUAAAGGGUCCGUAGUCGUGAAUGCAAUUAAAUGUCGUUGUUCAAUAGCGAUGAGUUUGCUAAUGUUUGCGGAACGGAUAGGGAGUGUAGUAUAGACUGGCGAAGAAUGAAAUCUCAAGACCCAGUUUGGACUAACGGAGGCGAAGGCGACACUCUUAGACGUAUCUUAGGAUCAAGGACGAAGGCAGGAGUAUCGAAAGUGAUUAGACACCGCUGUAGUUCCUGCAGUAAACUAUGCCGACAGCCUGUGUGUGAGAAUACGUGGGCGGGAGAAAUCUUAGUGUUCGGGCUCUGGGGAUAGUACGCUCGCAAGGGUGAAACUUAAAGCGAAAUUGACGGAAGGACACUACCAGGAGUGGAUUGUGCUGCUUAAUUUAACUCAACGCGGGAAAACUUACCAGGGUCAAGUCAUUCGUUGAUCGAAUACGUGAGAAUGGCAGGAGUGGUGCAUGGCCGUUGGAAAUUGAUGGGGCGACCUUUAGCUUAAAUGCUUAAACCAGUGAGACCUCCUUGACAGGUGUUCUGUAACACAGGAGGGUGGAGGCUAUAACAGGUCCGUGAUGCCCU
rnacentral:rRNA from 1 species